rnacentral:rRNA from 1 species
UACGUAGGGUGCAAGCGUUGUCCGGAAUUAUUGGGCGUAAAGAGCUUGUAGGCGGUUUGUCGCGUCUGCUGUGAAAUUUCGGGGCUCAACCCCGAACUUGCAGUGGGUACGGGCAGACUAGAGUGUGGUAGGGGAGACCGGAAUUCCUGGUGUAGCGGUGAAAUGCGCAGAUAUCAGGAGGAACACCGAUGGCGAAGGCAGGUCUCUGGGCCACUACUGACGCUGAGAAGCGAAAGCAUGGGGAGCGAACAGG